AUACAGAGGGUGCAAGCGUUGUUCGGAAUUAUUGGGCGUAAAGAGCAUGUAGGCGGUUCGUUAAGUCUGAUGUGAAAGCCCGGGGCUCAACCCCGGAAGUGCAUUGGAUACUGGCGAACUUGAGUACGGGAGAGGAAAGUGGAAUUUCGAGUGUAGGGGUGAAAUCCGUAGAUAUUCGAAGGAACACCAGUGGCGAAGGCGGCUUUCUGGACCGAUACUGACGCUGAGAUGCGAAAGCGUGGGGAGCAAACAGGAUUAGAAACCCUAGUAGUCC
rnacentral:rRNA from 1 species